rnacentral:lncRNA from 1 species
AGCUAAUGCUUUGUAAAACUGGUGAAAGUGAUAAAAUUCAUUACAGGGACUAACUCCUCUGUGAACUUCCCAGUCAAAGCCCUUAAAUCUCCAAAUCUCCAUAUGUAAUCCUGAGCGAAGGUGCCCAGAUUCCACAGAAACCAAACUAGAUGGCAGAAAAGACCCCCACCCUCGAGGACCGGGACUCUCAAGUGUGGCCCCCUAACCAGGAAAAACAGCAUCCAGGAACUUGUUCAAAAUGCAAAUUCUCAGCUCCUUCCCCUUCAAGUGUACCUGGCACCUGGGGGUGAGGCCCAUCACUGCGAUUAUUAACAAGCCCUUCAAGGGCCCUCGAUGCCGGAUGCCAGUUCCCUACGCGAACCACGAUUCUCCAUUACUUUGGCUGCCCUUUGCCAGGAAGGGUGGAGAUGGAGGAUAUGGGAACCUCUUCCCACCUCUUCAAGGACCUUUAUUGUCUAUUGGUUGGUUGGCUUGGCCAUUAUCCUAAUAUGGGUGGAGCACAAUACCCAUUAGGCAAAACAUAAACCAGACCUGUUCCACGGAACUGUGAAGUCAGUUUUCCUUGGCUUUGCCUUUGGUCAUUAAAAAAAAAAAAAAAAGAAACAAAAUGCUUGCUUCAUGAGCCCCACUGGUCUCUGAACUUUUCCCUUUUCUAGUAAAAGUACGAAUUCCAGCUGGAGUUCUUGACCAACGACGUCUUUCUUCAGAAGUUGCUGUCUUCCAUGCUUUGCUGAGUUCCAGAGAUAAGAUAAAUAAUUUACCAAAUGUAGGUUUCUGAUUACUCACUCUAUUAGCAUUUAGAGCUGAGAGCUCUGGCCCCUGGGGAGUUGGAUUUGUUCAGAUGCAGCCCAUCUGCUUUUGUUUUUUUGUGGGGAGUUUUUUUGGGGGGUGGGGUUGCCUGGAAAAGCCAGGGAGCUCCCAGCAUCCCACACAUACUUUGGGGAUGAACUGCCUGGAUCUUAUGGGUUUUACUGGAAAU